rnacentral:rRNA from 1 species
GGUUAAGCGACUAAGCGUACACGGUGGAUGCCCUGGCAGUCAGAGGCGAUGAAGGACGUGCUAAUCUGCGAUAAGCGUCGGUAAGGUGAUAUGAACCGUUAUAACCGGCGAUUUCCGAAUGGGGAAACCCAGUGUGAUUCGUCACACUAUCAUUAACUGAAUCCAUAGGUUAAUGAGGCGAACCGGGGGAACUGAAACAUCUAAGUACCCCGAGGAAAAGAAAUCAACCGAGAUUCCCCCAGUAGCGGCGAGCGAACGGGGAGCAGCCCAGAGCCUGAAUCAGUGUGUGUGUUAGUGGAAGCGUCUGGAAAGGCGCGCGAUACAGGGUGACAGCCCCGUACACAAAAAUGCACAUACUGUGAGCUCGAUGAGUAGGGCGGGACACGUGGUAUCCUGUCUGAAUAUGGGGGGACCAUCCUCCAAGGCUAAAUACUCCUGACUGACCGAUAGUGAACCAGUACCGUGAGGGAAAGGCGAAAAGAACCCCGGCGAGGGGAGUGAAAAAGAACCUGAAACCGUGUACGUACAAGCAGUGGGAGCACGCUUCGGCGUGUGACUGCGUACCUUUUGUAUAAUGGGUCAGCGACUUAUAUUCUGUAGCAAGGUUAACCGAAUAGGGGAGCCGAAGGGAAACCGAGUCUUAACUGGGCGUUAAGUUGCAGGGUAUAGACCCGAAACCCGGUGAUCUAGCCAUGGGCAGGUUGAAGGUUGGGUAACACUAACUGGAGGACCGAACCGACUAAUGUUGAAAAAUUAGCGGAUGACUUGUGGCUGGGGGUGAAAGGCCAAUCAAACCGGGAGAUAGCUGGUUCUCCCCGAAAGCUAUUUAGGUAGCGCCUCGUGAAUUCAUCUCCGGGGGUAGAGCACUGUUUCGGCAAGGGGGUCAUCCCGACUUACCAACCCGAUGCAAACUGCGAAUACCGGAGAAUGUUAUCACGGGAGACACACGGCGGGUGCUAACGUCCGUCGUGAAGAGGGAAACAACCCAGACCGCCAGCUAAGGUCCCAAAGUCAUGGUUAAGUGGGAAACGAUGUGGGAAGGCCCAGACAGCCAGGAUGUUGGCUUAGAAGCAGCCAUCAUUUAAAGAAAGCGUAAUAGCUCACUGGUCGAGUCGGCCUGCGCGGAAGAUGUAACGGGGCUAAACCAUGCACCGAAGCUGCGGCAGCGACACUAUGUGUUGUUGGGUAGGGGAGCGUUCUGUAAGCCUGUGAAGGUGUACUGUGAGGUAUGCUGGAGGUAUCAGAAGUGCGAAUGCUGACAUAAGUAACGAUAAAGCGGGUGAAAAGCCCGCUCGCCGGAAGACCAAGGGUUCCUGUCCAACGUUAAUCGGGGCAGGGUGAGUCGACCCCUAAGGCGAGGCCGAAAGGCGUAGUCGAUGGGAAACAGGUUAAUAUUCCUGUACUUGGUGUUACUGCGAAGGGGGGACGGAGAAGGCUAUGUUGGCCGGGCGACGGUUGUCCCGGUUUAAGCGUGUAGGCUGGUUUUCCAGGCAAAUCCGGAAAAUCAAGGCUGAGGCGUGAUGACGAGGCACUACGGUGCUGAAGCAACAAAUGCCCUGCUUCCAGGAAAAGCCUCUAAGCAUCAGGUAACAUCAAAUCGUACCCCAAACCGACACAGGUGGUCAGGUAGAGAAUACCAAGGCGCUUGAGAGAACUCGGGUGAAGGAACUAGGCAAAAUGGUGCCGUAACUUCGGGAGAAGGCACGCUGAUAUGUAGGUGAAGCGACUUGCUCGUGGAGCUGAAAUCAGUCGAAGAUACCAGCUGGCUGCAACUGUUUAUUAAAAACACAGCACUGUGCAAACACGAAAGUGGACGUAUACGGUGUGACGCCUGCCCGGUGCCGGAAGGUUAAUUGAUGGGGU